rnacentral:rRNA from 1 species
UACGUAGGGGGCAAGCGUUAUCCGGAUUUACUGGGUGUAAAGGGAGCGUAGACGGUUGUAUAAGUCUGGAGUGAAAGCCCGGGGCCCAACCCCGGGACUGCUUUGGAAACUGGCGGGCUAGAGUGCGGGAGGGGUAAGCGGAAUUCCUAGUGUAGCGGUGAAAUGCGUAGAUAUUAGGAGGAACACCGGUGGCGAAGGCGGCUUACUGGACCGUAACUGACGUUGAGGCUCGAAAGCGUGGGGAGCAAACAGG